GACGAACGCUGGCGGCGUGCCUAAUACAUGCAAGUUGAGCGCUGAAGGUUGGUACUUGUACCAACUGGAUGAGCAGCGAACGGGUGAGUAACGCGUGGGGAAUCUGCCUUUGAGCGGGGGACAACAUUUGGAAACGAAUGCUAAUACCGCAUAAAAACUUUAAACACAAGUUUUAAGUUUGAAAGAUGCAAUUGCAUCACUCAAAGAUGAUCCCGCGUUGUAUUAGCUAGUUGGUGAGGUAAAGGCUCACCAAGGCGAUGAUACAUAGCCGACCUGAGAGGGUGAUCGGCCACAUUGGGACUGAGACACGGCCCAAACGCCUACGGGAGGCAGCAGUAGGGAAUCGUCGGCAAUGGACGAAAGUCUGACCGAGCAACGCCGCGUGAGGGAAGAAGGUUUUCGGAUCGUAAAACUCGGUUGGUAGAGAAGAACGUUGGUGAGAGUGGAAAGCUCAUCAAGUGACGGUAACUACCCAGAAAGGGACGGCUAACUACGUG
rnacentral:rRNA from 1 species